UACAACUUUCAGCAACGGAUCUCUUGGCUCUCGCAUCGAUGAAGAACGCAGCGAAAUGCGAUAAGUAGUGUGAAUUGCAGAAUUCAGUGAAUCAUCGAAUCUUUGAACGCACCUUGCGCUCCUUGGUAUUCCGAGGAGCAUGCCUGUUUGAGUGUCAUUAAAUUCUCAA
rnacentral:rRNA from 1 species